AUUCCCACCCCACAAACGUCCCCUCAGGGAGACGGCCCAUAGACGUCAGUGGAGACUGGAGAAAUCCGGGAUGGCUAGCCGAUCACAUUAUGUGAAGAUGCAGCUCCCUUGAGAAGUCUAUAAUGCUGGGGAAAGUGGAAGGAGAAAGAAGAAGAGGACGACCAGCAGCAGGGUGGAUGGACUCGAUGACGACAGCAAUGAAUGCACCACGGAGAGACCUUCGAGGCCAAGCUGAUCAUCCUGGAGAGAAAGAAUCUCUCUAUGGGGCCGCUAUGAGUUCCACCCAGAAAGAAAAAGUUGCUGCAAUUCAAGAGCAGGUUCCAGGAGGCGGGUCUUCUGUUGAGUGGACAUAUAGAAGAAGAGUUUUUAAGUCGCGUGUCCAUCACGCAGGGCCAAGUUCCUGCAGGCGAGCGAGUGCUCUGGGUUUAGCCUGGGAGAGCGAAUCUGUAAAGUUACGAAAGUAUCCUUUAGUGCAGGGAUGAUGAUAAAACUCGGCCCUGCAGCUGUUGCGGGACUACGAUUCCCAUCAUCCCUAGAAAGAAAACAAAGGUUUGCUGCCUCCCCUGGUCUGAGCCGUGUCUUCUCAAGAUCUGCUUCCAAUCUCCUCUGUUCCUGCCCUUUUUGUCAUCUUCUCCCCUAGGACUCCUCUACAUCCACAUGCAUGUACCAGCAAGACUCCACUCCCUCAAGCAAAAUACAAUCAAGAUGACUUUUUAAAAGACA